rnacentral:tRNA from 3 species
CAAGAAAAGAGGGAAUCGAACCCC